rnacentral:lncRNA from 1 species
UCCAAACAUCGACUCCUAUCCAGCAUGCAUCUAGUGUAUUAAGUUCAUGGAAAAAUGGAGUGGUGCAAUAAGAACGAUGACAUGAUGUAGACAAGAUCUAUUUAUGUAGAAAUCGAGGCCAUCUUGUUAUCCUUAAUAUCAACGAUACAUACAUGUCGUUUCCCUUUCUGUCACUGGGAUCAAGCACCGUAAGAUCGAACCCAUCACAAAUCACCUUUUUCCAUUGCAAGAUAAAUAUAUAAAGUUGGCCAAACAAAACAC